rnacentral:rRNA from 1 species
UGGGGAAUAUUGCACAAUGGGCGAAAGCCUGAUGCAGCGACGCCGCGUGAGGGAUGACGGCCUUCGGGUUGUAAACCUCUUUCAGCAGGGAAGAAGCGAAAGUGACGGUACCUGCAGAAGAAGCGCCGGCUAACUACGUGCCAGCAGCCGCGGUAAUACGUAGGGCGCAAGCGUUGUCCGGAAUUAUUGGGCGUAAAGAGCUCGUAGGCGGUUAGUCGCGUCUGCUGUGAAAACUCGAGGCUCAACCUCGGGCUUGCAGUGGGUACGGGCUGACUAGAGUGCGGUAGGGGUGACUGGAAUUCCUGGUGUAGCGGUGGAAUGCGCAGAUAUCAGGAGGAACACCGAUGGCGAAGGCAGGUCACUGGGCCGCAACUGACGCUGAGGAGCGAAAAGCAUGGGGAGCGAAACAGGAUUAGAUACUCUGGUAGUCCAUGCCGUAAACGUUGGGCACUAGGUGUGGGGUCCAUUCCACGGAUUCCGUGCCGCAGC